rnacentral:rRNA from 1 species
UACGUAGGGGGCGAGCGUUGUCCGGAUUUAUUGGGCGUAAAGCGCGUGUAGGCGGCUAAGUAGGUCCGCUGUGAAAACUCGAGGCUUAACCUCGAGCUGUCGGUGGAAACCAUUUGGCUAGAGUCCGGAAGAGGAGAGCGGAAUUCCCGGUGUGGCGGUGAAAUGUGUUGAUAUCGGUGGGAACGCCAGUGGCGAAAGCGGCAAACUUGACCCUUCCUGACGCUGAUGCGCGAAAGCUAGGGGAGCAAACGGG